GUCACGGACGAGUCCGAGAACCUGAGCACAAGAGAACUGCGGUGAGCAUAAACAGAGUAAUCACACGACAAACGGGGUUUAUCGGGGCUGUACUGACGAGAGUAAGUCCACCACCCAGCGAAGAAGCCUCUGAGCCUCUGCUUAAAUAGCCCAGGAGUCCAGGUCAUCAGGUAGAUUCACGGCAGGUGCGUGGGCCAAGGGCGGAGCCCAGCUGAGCUCCGCCCAGGCAGACAGUUUCCCAGCAUGCCUUGGCUGUGCUCAUGGAAGUGAAUGAGGGGGAAAGAUCUGUCCUGCUGCCCUGUCAGUACUCGGAUUUCAUACCUGGUGAUCUCAGAGGACAAAAGCAGCGUUACAGCGGCGCACAUCGAUGAGAGCUGAUGCUCUCAACACUUCAGACCUCCGCCUGUCUCUGAGAAACCAACAAUGGCUGUCAGCAGCAACUACACCUGCUCCACCAGUGCUGGGAGAGAAGAGCUGAGACUGACAGCUCUUUGUACAGGCCUUCACCUCCUCAUUCAUCCACAGUCUGCCUCCCUCUGCUCCAUCAGCUGACGUCCUCUGUACAACUACCUGCUGUGUGCACAUCUUUGAUUUCUUCUUCUUUGUAUCCUGCAAAGCUCAAACUUCACUAUAAUACAAAGACAUUUCAGAAACGCUGCACUGAGUGAAAGAUAACAGCAGUGACCUAAAUGAGUCUCCAGCGUAUUCAAAUAGAUUUUCUGUGAAGCAUUAAAAUCAAACUUUUGUUUCUCAUCCUUUCAGUUUUGUGCUCGUGCUGUUAGUCUGAGAAGCUCCUUGUUUGAAGUCAGCUCAGGAUCAUAAAGACUUCAAAUCUAUUUGAUGCCUGAGUAACUUCCAUACGCAGAAACAUCUGGAUCAAAUCCACACUGAAUGUUUAUGU